rnacentral:lncRNA from 1 species
UUGACUUAGCCCUCUCCUGAAAUUAUACUAAAGUUACAUUCUUAUGAUGUUUAUCUUUGCCUCAAGACAUAAAAAUGAUGAAGAUCAUGAUGAUGAUCUGUGUCCCUUUCUUUCUUUUGCAGAAAUCUAGCAAGAAAACAUUGUGGAUAUACACAGGAAUAUAUAGAGUUCAAAAAGGAAAUUGAUUACUAUUCCAAAGAUUUUGAUGGCGAAGAUGUCAGAAGAGUUGCAGCGAAACACUUCGUAGAAACUAAGAAAUCUAGCAAGAAAACAUUGUGGAUAUACGACACAAUUUGAAGACUUUAAAAAAGAAGCAAUUGAUGGUUUUAACCGCAUACAAGCCAAGAGAUAUGCAACAAAAUACUUUUUCGACUUUAAGG